CAGCAGCCACGGUAAUACGAAGGGGGCUAGCGUUGCUCGGAAUGACUGGGCGUAAAGGGCGCGUAGGCGGUUUGUACAGUUGGAUGUGAAAUUCCUGGGCUUAACCUGGGGGCUGCAUUCAAUACGUGCAGGCUUGAGUGUGGAAGAGGGUUGUGGAAUUCCCAGUGUAGAGGUGAAAUUCGUAGAUAUUGGGAAGAACACCGGUGGCGAAGGCGGCGACCUGGUCCUUGACUGACGCUGAGGCGCGAAAGCGUGGGGAGCAAACAUGAUUAGAUACCCCCGUAGUCCCUGUCUCUUAUAC
rnacentral:rRNA from 1 species